AGUGACCGCUGGCGGUAGGCCUAACACAUGCAAGUCGAACGGCAACAGGCAAAGCGUUUGCUUUUCAGGGCGGCGAGUCGCGGUGGGGUGCGUUCUCCCUCAGACUGUACUUUUUAGUGGGAGAAAAACUGGAGAACGUAGCUCUAAUAGCCCACACGACCUACACCUGAAAGCCGAGGCUCCUGGCACCUUGCGCGCGUGAGUGAGCCGAUGUGGGAGUAGCUAGUUGGGGGGGUAAAGGCGCACCAAGGCGACGAUCUGUAGCUGGUCUGAGAGGAUGAUCAGCCACACUGGAACUGAGACACGGUCCAGACUCCUACGGGAGGCAGCAGUGGGGAAUAUUGGACAAUGGGCGCAAGCCGGAUGCAGCCAUACCGCGUGGAUGAAGAAGGCCUUCGGGUUGUAAAGCACUUUUAUCGGGAAAGAAAGGCAUCAAGUUAAUACCCCGCCUCACUGACGUUACCCAAAGAAGAAGCACCGGCUAACUGCGUG
rnacentral:rRNA from 1 species